rnacentral:rRNA from 1 species
CCUACGGGAGGCAGCAGUGGGGAAUAUUGCACAAUGGGCGCAAGCCUGAUGCAGCAACGCCGUGUGAGUGAUGAAGGCCUUCGGGUCGUAAAACUCUGUCUUAUGGGAAGAAAACAAUGACGGUACCAUAGGAGGAAGCCCCGGCUAACUACGUGCCAGCAGCCGCGGUAA